UGGGGAAUAUUGCACAAUGGAGGGAACUCUGAUGCAGCGACGCCGCGUGAACGAAGAAGGCUUUCGAGUCGUAAAGUUCUUUUAUAUGGGAAGAUAAUGACGGUACCAUAAGAAAAAGCCCCGGCUAACUACGUGCCAGCAGCCGCGGUAAUACGUAGGGGGCUAGCGUUGUCCGGAAUCACUGGGCGUAAAGGGUUCGCAGGCGGAAAUGCAAGUCAGGUGUAAAAGGCAGUAGCUUAACUACUGUAAGCAUUUGAAACUGCAUAUCUUGAGAAGAGUAGAGGUAAGUGGAAUUUUUAGUGUAGCGGUGAACUGCGUAGAUAUUAAAAAGAAUACCGGUGGCGAAGGAGACUUACUGGGCUCAUUCUGACGCUGAGGAACGAAAGCGUGGGUAGCAAACAGG
rnacentral:rRNA from 1 species